rnacentral:tRNA from 1 species
GUAGUUGUAGCUUAAUUUAAAGCCUAGUGUUGAAAACACUAAAACGAGCCAAAUGCUCCAAAUACA